UCUACGGGAGGCAGCAGUGGGGUAUAUUGCACAAUGGGGGGAACCCUGAUGCAGCAACGCCGCGUGAAUGAUGAAGUAUUUCGGUACGUAAAGUUCUGUCAGCAGGGAAGAAAAUGACGGUACCUGACCAAGAAGCCCCGGCUAACUACGUGCCAGCAGCCGCGGUAAUACGUAGGGGGCAAGCGUUAUCCGGAUUUACUGGGUGUAAAGGGAGCGUAGACGGGCCAGCAAGUCUGGUGUGAAAGCCCGGGGCCCAACCACGGGACUGCAUUGGAAACUGCGGGGCUGGAGUGCAGGAGGGGUAAGCGGAAUUCCUAGUGUAGCGGUGAAAUGCGUAGAUAGUAGGAGGAACACCGGUGGCGAAGGCGGCUUACUGGACUGUAACUGACGUUGAGGCUCGAAGGCGUGGGGAGCAAACAGGAUUAGAUACCCCUGUAGUC
rnacentral:rRNA from 1 species